UACGUAGGGUGCGAGCGUUGUCCGGAAUUACUGGGCGUAAAGAGCUCGUAGGUGGUUUGUCGCGUUGUUCGUGAAAACUCACAGCUUAACUGUGGGCGUGCGGGCGAUACGGGCAGACUGGAGUACUGCAGGGGAGACUGGAAUUCCUGGUGUAGCGGUGGAAUGCGCAGAUAUCAGGAGGAACACCGGUGGUGAAGGCGGGUCUCUGGGCAAUUCCUGACGCUGAGGCGCGAAAGCGUGGGGAGCAAACGGG
rnacentral:rRNA from 1 species